UAUUUUGCAAUUCAUCGUUCUCAUUUAGAGCCAAACGAACUGUUGCUGAAACAGGAUGAACCUGCCUGUAAAUAGAUCUCUCAAGGGCGCAGCGACUCACGCAGAGCAUGCUCUGGCAUAAUGUCAGUAUCGAGGUCAGUAACAAUGACGCAGACAUACAUCAGAACACCACGUAUUCGCAAUGCAACUCGAGGUUGGAAUAUAGGCUUAUAAACGGACGACCUCUGAUCACAAGACGUUAAGGAUACAUACAAUACAAUAAUGGUUGAUUGAAAUCAUUCCGAGCUCAUUUCGAAUAUAGUGUUGAUGUGAGGCUUUCGGGCGCGGACAGAAUUAUCAUUCAGGAGACGCCAUGGAUGUGAAGGUCAGCUUAUCCACUGCAUCACAGAACAACCAUCCACUGCCCGAUGAUACAGAACACUCGAACCAUUCGAUAUGCUGUUCUCAAAGACUGAUCGUGGCAUUAAUGUGUUUUCUUGGGGGAGUUAUGGUUGAGGCCAAUAGGUCAAAUCUCAGCGUGGCCAUCGUGUGCAUGGUCAACGACACCACCAGCAACUACAUCAACGGUACAAAGACAACACAAUCAGAGGCACAUUCUUACUUUUAG